rnacentral:sRNA from 2 species
CAGUUUGCCGGCUUUUUGGACUCUCCCUGAGUUGGGCCAAUCCAGUGGCUUACAGUUAGAAACUUCAUUCCACUGAAAUAUUGAGAUUGUAGGAAGGGAUUUGUCUCCUUGUGGAAUUCCUACAGAGGCACCAGAGCAAUGGAGCUGUCAUUGCCCGCUGUGGACAGCCAGAGGUUAGCUGGUGGGGCUGGCGAAAUGCAGAUGAUGAGCAUCUGGUACAGUCAGUAGCCAAAGCUUGUGCCUCUGACUCCCGAUCGAGUGGCAGCAAGCUGUCAACUAGGAACACUUCUCGAGACUUUCCCAAUGGGGGAGACCUUUCUGACGUGGAGUUCGAUUCUUCUCUGUCAAAUGCUUCAGGAGCAGAGAGUUUAGCCAUCCAACCGCAGAAGCUUUUGAUCUUGGAUGCAC